CCUACGGGGGGCUGCAGUGGGGAAUAUUGGACAAUGGGGGGAACCCUGAUCCAGCCAUGCCGCGUGUGUGAAGAAGGCCCUCGGGUUGUAAAGCACUUUCAGUGAGGAAGAACGCCUGGUGGUUAAUACCCAUCAGGAAAGACAUCACUCACGGAAGAAGCACCGGCUAACUCCGUGCCAGCAGCCGCGGUAAUACGGAGGGUGCGAGCGUUAAUCGGAAUUACUGGGCGUAAAGGGCGCGUAGGUGGCUUGAUAAGCCGGUUGUGAAAGCCCCGGGCUCAACCUGGGAACGGCAUCCGGAACUGUCAAGCUAGAGUGCAGGAGAGGAAGGUAGAAUUCCCGGUGUAGCGGUGAAAUGCGUAGAGAUCGGGAGGAAUACCAGUGGCGAAGGCGGCCUUCUGGACUGACACUGACACUGAGGUGCGAAAGCGUGGGUAGCAAACAGGAUUAGAUACCCCUGUAGUC
rnacentral:rRNA from 1 species